ACUCCUACGGGAGGCAGCAGUGGGAAUUAUUGCACAAUGGGCGCAAGCCUGAUGCAGCCAUGCCGCGUGUAUGAAGAAGGCCUUCGGGUUGUAAAGUACUUUCAGCAGUGAGGAAGGUGGGUAUGUUAAUAGCANAUUCAUUUGACGUUUAGCGUUGCCAGAAAGCAAGCACCGGCUAACUCCGUGCCAGCAGCCGCGGUAAUACGGAGGGUGCGAGCGUUAAUCGGAAUUACUGGGCGUAAAGCGCAUGCAGGUGGUUGUUUAAGUCAGAUGUGAAAGCCCGGGGCUCAACCUCGGAAUUGCAUUUGAAACUGGCAAACUNGAGUACUGUAGAGGGGGGUAGAAUUUCAGGUGUAGCGGUGAAAUGCGUAGAGAUCUGAAGGAAUACCGGUGGCGAAGGCGGCCCCCUGGACAGAUACUGACACUCAGAUGCGAAAGCGUGGGAGCAAACAGGAUUAUAUA
rnacentral:rRNA from 1 species